GUGGAUGAAUUUUACAGAAAAUAAAUAAAAUUAUAAAGCACCUUUUGUGCUCUGCUGUCAUCCUCUUUACAGGGAAGUGCAGUCUAGAGCGGCGUCUGUGGGAUCUGGGGCUUGCCAGGGUUUGACAAGACCCCAGAGGACUUUUUGGCCAUCCAGAUGUAGACUGUAAUAGACUACCAGCCAGCCCCAAUUACAGCUCCUCACUCAUCACAACCAUGAAACCCUCAUCAGCUCAACACUCGACUUGACUCGCCUCUACUCAACUCGGCGCAUUCUGCGUCCGUUGUCCAUUGCAAAUUGAGUAACGCCUCAGCGUGGCUGGUCACCAUAGCUACGCGUGACGAUGUAAUUUUCAACGCGACUCCCAACAGCACGUCGGACAGUUGCCACAGCCAGAAGAAAUGUUUUGUUUCAAAAGAAGCUGAAGGAAGCAACAAAAAUCACCGCUAAAAAAACAGGAGUUUGGGAAUUCCGACGGAGUUCAGACGUUGACAUGACUAUUGUUCGCCGACACAAAAGGAGCAUUCACGCUUUGCAAAAUCGCCGCCGCAGACCGUCUGGUGGGCGAUGUCCGACUGGUGAGAUCUCUGGUUCUGACCUGCUGGACUUUGCAUAAUCUUUAUGAGAGUCAUGAAGAGGCUUGUGACAACAACUGGGAUGCAUCUGGGACAGCAGAGUCCCAGGGGGGGACACUGUCACAGGUUGCAGAGGAUGAAGACCGGGAUGUACGCAAGGGUUUGAUGCGCUACUUGAAAAG